rnacentral:rRNA from 1 species
AUUGAACGCUGGCGGCAGGCUUAACACAUGCAAGUCGAGCGAGUGGCGGACGGGUGAGUAAUGUAUGGGAAACUGCCUGAUGGAGGGGGAUAACUACUGGAAACGGUAGCUAAUACCGCAUACCAUCAGAUGUGCCCAGAUGGGAUUAGCUAGUAGGUGGGGUAAUGGCUCACCAAGGCGACUAUCCCUAGCUGGUCUGAGAGGAUGACCAGCCACACUGGAACGGAGACACGGUCCGGACUCCUACGGGAGGCAGCAGUGGGGAAUAUUGGACAAUGGGCGCAAGCCUGAUGCAGCCAUGCCGCGGGUAUGAAGAAGGCCUUCGGGUUGUAAAGCACUUUCAGCUGGGAGGCGUUACCCGCAGAAGAAGCACCGGCUAACUCCGUGCCAGCAGCCGCGGUAAUAC